rnacentral:rRNA from 1 species
UACGAAGGGGGCUAGCGUUGCUCGGAAUCACUGGGCGUAAAGGGUGCGUAGGCGGGUCUUUAAGUCAGGGGUGAAAUCCUGGAGCUCAACUCCAGAACUGCCUUUGAUACUGAAGAUCUUGAGUUCGGGAGAGGUGAGUGGAACUGCGAGUGUAGAGGUGAAAUUCGUAGAUAUUCGCAAGAACACCAGUGGCGAAGGCGGCUCACUGGCCCGGACUAGACGCUGAGGCACGAAAGCGUGGGAGCAAACAGG